rnacentral:RNase_MRP_RNA from 2 species
GGAUGCUCUGAAGACCUGCUCGCUAGGCCACGCACGGAGGACACUGGCUCCUCAUGGGCCCCGCGCCCGCCUAGGGAAAAGUCCCCGGACUGCUGGCAGAGAGUGGCAGGCGCUGCUGGCGCCCUCGCCCGCCCCCACCUCACACAUUCCCCACGGAGAUGCCCCCAGGCCGAGUGGGUGAGCACAGGCGGGCUCUCCAUGCAGCCACAGACACACAGGUAGUGCGCAGGCACACCAACAGAACAGGGCUCACUCUCAGGGUAUC